UAGUCAUGAGAGGAACAUGGGGAGUUCUCUUUCUCGGGACAGGGUAAGGCCUGGUGAAGCUAGGCUGGAGAGAACCACAGGGGAUAGGUUAGGCUGCUGUAGGAGGCCUGAAGAGAGGGUCUGUGACAAACAUGGUGGUCCCUGGGAGAUACUGAUGGAAUCCCUGAGGAGGGAAGACAGUGGGGAAGCCUGCUAGGAAGAAAGGUCUCUAAGGAAAAAGCCCUGGGAGGCAGCCCUCAGCCAGAGGGGCAAUGAAAGAAAUCUGCAGGCCCCAGGAGUUGAGCUCGAGGGCGAAUUGUGCGUGGCGGCAGUCUACAAAGGUUCUGGAGACAGAUCCCUGCAACUCCAGGCCUAUCUGACACCAGGCUCUGAUUUGGAUCCCACCAUGCUUUAUCGCUGUAGCCGACUGAUGUACAAAUUCGGCCUUGGGGGUCACUUUGCCCAACACUAAGAUGAAGGUGGCAUUUCUGGGGUGAAAUAUGGAAGCUGCACAACUGCACGGAACCAUCAUAUGCAAUGGUUUAGAGCGAGAAUUUAGGAACGCUGUGUGCGCACAACUGAUACUAGAGGACCGGGGCGUUUAUGUGAGCAGAACCUGAAUGAGCAUUUGGACAAAGCACUGUAAUUGACACGCCCAAGUCUUACAAAAAAAGGGCCACUGGAGCAUUAAUGACAACAAGUGAGCAGAGCUUCUUUUUUCUGGAAAACACCACCUCAUGCAGCACAGUGCCUGCUGCCACCACAGUGGAGCAUCUCUUUAAAAAAAUAAAUCAAAUAACACAAAAAAUUGGUCAUCAACCACUUCCCAGUUUCCUUCCUUGUUCCCUGCAGUUCUCCCAUCCAUGCAGAGUUAUGGCUAUGGACCAAGAGUUCUUCUUGGUAAACAAGACCUGUUGCACAAGUCAACAGAGUUGCAGGUCAUUUCGAUGCUUCUUUCAGUUUCCUCUUUCCUCCUAGGAAGAGGACUAAGGGCUCACUAACCUUGUGCCAUCACACAGAUUGCUGGUAGCCCAUGCCUUUAUGAAUGGAAUUUGGGCUGAAAUCUCAAAUAUGAAUUAUAGUUACACAGUGGAGGAGGCUGGAGAUUAUUCU